rnacentral:rRNA from 1 species
GACGAACGCUGGCGGCGUGCCUAGUACAUGCAAGUCGAACGCUUUUUCUUUCACCGGAGCUUGCUCCACCGAAAGAAAAAGAGUGGCGAACGGGUGAGUAACACGUGGGUAACCUGCCCAUCAGAAGGGGAUAACACUUGGAAACAGGUGCUAAUACCGUAUAACACUAUUUUCCGCAUGGAAGAAAGUUGAAAGGCGCUUUUGCGUCACUGAUGGAUGGACCCGCGGUGCAUUAGCUAGUUGGUGAGGUAACGGCUCACCAAGGCAACGAUGCAUGGCCGACCUGAGAGGGUGAUCGGCCACACUGGGACUGGGAAACGGCCCAGACUCCUACGGGAGGCAGCAGUAGGGAAUCUUCGGCAAUGGACGAAAGUCUGACCGAGCAACGCCGCGUGAGUGAAGAAGGUUUUCGGAUCGUAAAACUCUGUUGUUAGAGAAGAACAAGGAUGAGAGUAGAACGUUCAUCCCUUGACGGUAUCUAACCAGAAAGCCACGGCUAACUACGUGCCAGCCGCCGCCGUAA